rnacentral:rRNA from 1 species
GAUGAACGCUAGCGGCAGGCUUAAUACAUGCAAGUCGAGGGGCAGCACAGGUAGCAAUACUGGGUGGCGACCGGCAAACGGGUGCGGAACACGUACACAACUUACCUUAGAGUGGGGGAUAGCCCAGGGAAACUUGGAUUAAUACCCCAUAAAACAGGGGGCCCGCAUGGGCAUAUUGUUAAAGAUUUAUCGCUUUAAGAUGGGUGUGCGUAUGAUUAGGUAGUUGGUAGGGUAAAGGCCUACCAAGCCGACGAGCAUUAACUGGUGUGAGGGAACUACCAGUAACACGGGAACUGGGACACGGGCCCGACUCCUACGGGAGGCAGCAGUAAGGAAUAUUGGUCAAUGGACGGAAGUCUGAACCAGCCAUGCCGCGUGAAGGAUGAAGGUCCUCUGGAUUGUAAACUUCUUUUAUAGGGGGCGAAAAAGGGCCAUUCUUGGUCAACUGACGGUACCCUAUGAAUAAGCACCGGCUAACUCCGUGCCAGCAGCCGCCGUAAUAC